ensembl:scaRNA SCARNA17 small Cajal body-specific RNA 17
CUUUCGGGUCCCCAUUACAGCCCCCGGAUGAGCCCACAGUAUUUUCCUUAUAUGAUCAGGUCCCAUUGCGGCCCGCUUGCCCGGAGCCUGAGAGGAUUAUGAAAACGUGGCGAGCGGAGUGGUGCCGGGGGACCCGGAG